rnacentral:lncRNA from 1 species
AUGCAAAAAGCAAAAUGGCUGUCUGGGGAGGCCUUACAAAUAGCUGUGAAAAAAAGAGAGGUGAAAAGCAAAGGAGAAAAGGAAAGAUAUAAGCAUCUGAAUGCAGAGUUCCAAAGAAUAGCAAGAAGAGAUAAGAAAGCCUUCUUUAGCAAUCAAUACAAAGAAAUAGAGGAAAACAACAGAAUGGGAAAGACUAGAGAUCUCUUCAAGAAAAUUAGAGAUACCAAGGGAACAUUUCAUGCAAUGAUGGGCUUGAUAAAGGACAGAAAUGGUCUGGACCUAACAGAAGCAGAAGAUAUUAAGAAGAGGUGGCAAGGAUACACAGAAGAACUGUACAAAAAAGAUCUUCACAACCCAGAAAUUCACGCUGGUGUGAUCACUCAUCUAGAGCCAGACAUCUUGGAAUGUGAAGUCAAGUGGGCCUUAGAAAGCAUCACUACGAACAAAGCUAGUGGAGGUGAUGGAAUUCCAGUUAGGCUGUUUCAAAUCCUAAAAGAUGAUUCUGUGAAAGUGCUGCACUCAGUAUGCCAGCAAAUUUGGAAAACUCAGCAGUGGCCACAGGACUGGAAAAGGUCUGUUUUCAUUCCAAUCCCAAAGAAAGGCAAUGCCAAAGAAUGCUCAAACUACCACACAAUUGCACUCAUCUCACAUGCUAGUAAAGUGAUGCUCAAAAUUCUCCAAGCCAGGCUUCAGCAAUAUGUGAACCGUGAACUUCCUGAUGUUCAAGAUGGUUUUAGAAAAGGCAGAGGAGCCAGAGAUCAAAUUGCCAACAUCUGCUGGAUCAUGGAGAAAGCAAGAGAGUUCCAGAAAAACAUCUAUUUCUGCUUUAUUGAUUAUGCCAAAGCCUUUGACUGUGUGGAUCACAAUAAACUGUGGAAAAUUCUUCAAGAGAUGGGAAUACCAGACCCCCUGACCUGCCUCUUGAGAAAUCUGUAUGCAGGUCAGGAAGCAACAGUUAGAACUGGACAUGGAACAACAGACUGGUUCCAAAUAGGAAAAGGAGUAUGUCAAGGCUAUAUAUUGUCACCCUGCUUAUUCAACUUAUAUGCAGAGUACAUUAUGAGAAACGCUGGGCUGGAAGAAACACAAGCUGGAAUCAAGAUUGCCAGGAGAAAUAUCAAUAACCUCAGAUAUGCAGAUGACACCACCCUUAUGGCAGAAAGUGAAGAGGAACUAAAAAGCCUCUUGAUGAAAGUGAAAGAGGAGAGUGAAAAGGUUGGCUUAAAGCUCAACAUUCAGAAAACGAAGAUCAUGGCAUCCGGUCCCAUCACUUCAUGGGAAAUAGAUGGGGAAACAGUGGAAACAGUGUCAGACUUUAUUUUUCUGGGCUCCAAAAUCACUGCAGAUGGUGACUGCAGCCAUGAAAUUAAAAGAUGCUUACUCCUUGGAAGAAAAGUUAAAAUCAACCUAGAUAGUAUAUUCGAAAGCAGAGACAUUACUUUGCCAACUAAGGUCUGUCUAGUCAAGGCUAUGGUUUUUCCAGUAGUCAUGUAUGGAUGUGAGAGUUGGACUGUGAAGAAGGCUGAGCGCCGAAGAAUUGAUGCUUCUGAACUGUGGUGUUGGAGAAGACUCUUGAGAGUCCCUUGGACUGCAAGGACAUCCAACCAGUCCAUUCUGAAGGAGAUCAGCCCUGGGAUUUCUUUGGAAGGAAUGAUGCUAAAGCUGAAACUCCAGUACUUUGGCCACCUCAUGCGAAGAGUUGACUUAUUGGAAAAGACUCUAAUGCUGGGAGGGAUUGGGGGCAGGAGGAGAAGGGGACGGCAGAGGAUGAGAUGGCUGGAUGGCAUCAUGGACUCGAUGGACGCAACUCUGAGUGAACUCCAGGAGUUGUUGAUGGACAGGGAGGCCUGGCCUGCUGCCAUUCAUGGGGUCACAAAGAGUCGGACACGACUGAGUGACUGA